GAUGAACGCUAGCGGCAGGCUUAACACAUGCAAGUCGAGGGGCAGCAUAAUGAAGUAGCAAUACGGAAUUGAUGGCGACCGGCGCACGGGUGCGUAACGCGUAUGUAACCUACCUUUAACAAGGGGAUAACACUGAGAAAUUGGUACUAAUACCCUAUAAUACCUGAGGAGCAUCUUUUGGGUUGAAAGUUCCGGCGGUUAGAGAUGGACAUGCGUUGUAUUAGCUAGAUGGUGAGGUAACGGCUCACCAUGGCGACGAUACAUAGGGGACUGAGAGGUUAACCCCCCACACUGGUACUGAGACACGGACCAGACUCCUACGGAGGCA
rnacentral:rRNA from 1 species